rnacentral:lncRNA from 1 species
AGUGCGGAAGCGCCCAGCGGGCCGGGGGUUCCCUCCCGCGGGGCCUCCCGGGGCGGACCCGGGUGCGGCGGCCGAGAUGCGGGCGGUGGAGGGGGCAGGCCCCGACUCUUUCGCUCCCUCCGCGCCGCGGGCCGCCGGCCUGAGCUGGGAAAGGCGCGGCGGGCGGCUGGCGAGGAAGGAGGCCUCUGUCCUUUCACUUUGCUUCCCGGGCCAGGCCUCCAGCUGGAGCCGCACUGCCGCUCGGGGGCCGGGGCGAAGGUCCCUGCCGGAGCCUCCCGGAGGAGCGGCUGCCCCGCGGGCGGGGGAACGGUGCGGCCAACUCGCGGGGGCGAGCCCGGAGCCGGCGGAGACCGGAACCCGGGAACCCAGGCCCCGCGGCGCUAGCGCUGCCAGAAAACUCGCUGCGGCCGCGCCGGUCGGCCUACUUCGCCCCGGCUGUCCGCGCGCGGGACGUAGAAGAGCGCCCUGGCCGGGAAAGGUGGGGAGGGGCUUCAGGCUCUUUCUUGCUGGAGUAGGGUGCGGAAUCCCGUACCGCUUUACAGCUGCUGGCCCCCUAGGACCCCGCGGCGCAGGCCGGAUCCCAGAGGCGGGGAUAGGAGCCAAUAGCUGAUACAGACAAAAAAAUAAAAAGCAGCUGUACCUCAUUGCGCAUGUGCGAGCUUCGUUUUUUUUUUUAAUUUUUUGACGUCAUUUCGCGAUAUCAAGUCCCAAGCCAAAAUGUCUUGUGCGUUGGUUACUCUGAAGAAUAAUGGACUGUAUGUUCUGACUCCUGGAAAUUACUGCAAAAGUACCGAGAGAUGGUUUUCAAGUUUUCUCAAACGUUUGAAAAAAAAAAAUAGUGUUUCCUGUUUAACCACUCUAUCUGUCCGUUUUUUCCCCAGAGAUUAUCUGAGCCGAGAGUGAGCUCCGCUAAAACGUAGGCUAAAUUCGAGGACACGGUGGCACUACAUCUCAUUCUUUCAGAGGAGAUGCUUGCACUACAGUUUGGACCCUUGCUUUUUGACAUUUCAGAGAAAACAUCUAAAUAUUGCUAAAGCUGGAUUACUUUACCUCCUACUCCAAUAUUACCUAAUUUUUUUACGGUGAAAAAAUAAAAGUUCCUAUAUGAACGAUAUAAAAGAUGAACUGCCUAUAUGAAGAAAAUACUAAUACUUUUCCCAUCAGUAAGACAAAUCUGGUCUUAAGGAAUUGAAUUAUAAAGAAAUGCUUUUUAUUCAAGGAAUGCUUUUUUUUUUUGCCCUAGUGAAAUAAUAUGCAAUUGCUUAUCAUUUUACUUAUAAGUCAAGGGUAACAGUCUUAGAAAUUUACAAGUAAAGCUGAACGUAUGCAAAUAAUUUCAAUAUAUAUAUGGUCAUAUCCCAAAGAGAAACAAUUUACUAAUAAUUCCUGGCUUAAAGAGUGUCUUGCAAUACUAAAAACACAC